rnacentral:misc_RNA from 1 species
AAUGGCAUUGCCUCCUUUAGAUAAAUCAUUAGUCAUACUUCCAGCUUCUGCAAUGACAUAGGCAGUGAAAAGCAGUAUCAAAAAUGCUUGGAAAAGGUGUUCUGGGGAUAUUAACCCUUCUGUCAAGAGUCUUCCACCAUACCAGUAAGCUAAUGCAGUAGCAGCUGUGGUGAAAAAUUGAGCACUAAAGAGGCCAAAACCUGAGAGCCAAGAAUGUUUAACACUCUCCUCUUUAGGACCUCUCAAGGUGUCUUUGAAGAGCCCCAACAUUCUCUUCUGAGAAGAGAAUGCAGUUAUUGUUCUGUGGUUAAUCACAGCCUCACUGGCAAGUUGGCUUCCUUCUUUUUGUGCUUUUUGAGCCUUCCCAGCCAUACUUUUCAUCAACACACUCCUUAAAUAAUAGCUCCCAACAACUAAUGGUUGCACUGCAAUCAUCACAAGGGCUAGCCUCCAUGAGAGAAAAAGUGCUAAUGCAUAAGCAAAAAGAGACCCAAAGAAUGCUUGAACCAGCAAUGACAUUCGGUCUCCAACAAGGGACCGAACCAUACUAGCUUCAGUGGCAAACCUGGCACAAAUUGCUGCACUUGUAUUCUCAUCAUCAUCAAACCAUCCUAUCUCAAAAGUCAUCAGCUUUGCAAGCAGUUUCUCCCGUACUCUUUUUGUCAGUUUUUCGCCCAUAACUGCAAAGCUGUAGUGUUGUAGGAGGCUGGAAGUGAAGUUGAGAGCUCCAAUGCCUAAGAAAACAAGGGACAAGAUUCUAUUCUUGUGCUUGAUAUCAGAUUUGUCCGUACGGAAGUAAUUUGCUAUAAGCGAACCCACACAGUAAGCAUUUAUGGGUUGAACUGCCCCAGAGCCUAUCGCAGCCAAGCAUCCAAUCAAGGCCCUACCCCAUUCAAGUGCAUUCAUUUUCAGCAGUCGCCACUGAGAGGGAGCAGGAUAAUUCAGUCGCUUUAAGUCAUCUUCAACGCUGUCAUCAUCAGGAUCAUAUGCGGCUGAAUAGGAAUAGGGGGUGCCCAAGGAUAAUGCAGGGCUGAAAGGGUAUAACACUGGAGUGUUUUGAAUACUUGCUCUCACACUGAUUGGACUUGGUGCAACAAUCAUCUUAUGGAAGUUUCUCCCAUUGUUGUGAGGACUAAAAUCACUAGGAGCUUCAUUUCCUGCUGCCAUCUGCUGCAACUGCACCAUCCGGUAGUAUUCCCCGCCCUGUCCAUCAUUUAUAUUCAUUAGCUCUUCAUGAGAACCUGAUUCGACUACUCUUCCUGCUUGAAGAACCACAAUCAAUUUUGCUGUUCUGAUUGUGGAAAGGCGGUGAGCAACGGUAAUUGUUGUCCUUCCUCUUGAUGCCUGAUCAAUUGCCUCUUGCACUAAUCUUUCAGAUUGCAUAUCAAGUGCACUAGUUGCCUCAUCAAGCAGCAGGAUUUUGGGGUUCCUAAUUAGAGCCUUUGCUAUGGCGAUUCGCUGCUUUUGCCCACCAGAUAGUUGGAAUCCAU